UUUAAGUUUGACCCUUUAGUCAAUGUUGGUGACGCUUGUUCCUUUUUCUGACGCUUUGUCCAAAACAACUUGAAUUCAGAUAAAUGUCGUUACGGAGCAGACAGGGGUCAGGGCGCAUUGGUUGUCGAAUGUACUUUUCGUCAACUACAAGUCAACCACACACUUACCGUGCGUUCACGCCAAAAA